GUGAUCCCUUCAGCUCCAAUGAUGAACUUUGUGCGUGCCCAGAUCAAGAAAGCAGCUGAUGAGACCGAGACUAUUCUGGAAACAACCCCGGCUGGCAAAAGCGAUGGGGAAGGUGCACUUCGAGCAUUCAUUAAGCGCCAGGGCCAAAAGUUAAGGCGGCUAUCAAACCUUUUAGGUUGUCGUGACCCCGAG